rnacentral:rRNA from 1 species
AACGCCCUGUUGGCAGAGUAUAGGGCGCUUUCCCUGCCCGGUGAAAGUUUUUAACGGCUGCAGUAUUCUGACUGUACAAAGGUAGCAUAAUCAUUUGGCUCUUAAUUGGAGUCUGGAAUGAAGGGGUGCACGUGGCUCAUCUGUCUCCUUUCUCUUAAUAAAAUUUAUCUUCGGGAUGAAGAGAUCCCUAUAACCUAAAAAGACGAGAAGACCCCAAAGAGCUUUUUACUGGCUUGUAGUGCGUUACACAAAGUAUUUUGGUUGGGGCGACCUAGGUACAAACAAAGCUACCUUUUGAUAAAAUUUAGCCAAGGACCCCCUAUUAGGGUUUAUCUAGCGAUUAAAAGUUACCUUGGGGAUAACAGCAUAAUGUGGUAGAAGAGGCCUUAUCUAUUAUCACGUUUAUGACCUCGAUGUUGGACUAAGGUGUUUAGUCUCAUAGGUGCAGCAGCUUGUGGAGAUAGUCUGUUCGACUAUUAAAACCUU